GUGGGGGUGGUAUGGAUGUUUUCUGGAAUGACCCAUUGUAAAGUUGUGCAUGUUGCAGCUCUCAAGGGGAGGGUGGAUCUUUUCUGGAAUGUCCCAUUCCAUCUUACAUGCUUGCAUCAUUUCCUUCAGAUUGGACUAAGAUUCAUACAAUUGUCCAGAAAUGGCAAAAUUACACAACAAAGAAACGCCCCGACAGUAUCCUCAUUGGCUCGUCCCACCCGGCAAACCUGGAACUCUACGGAACGAAAGAUCUUCCUGAGCUUGACAUCGUCGUCAACUUUGAGCUUGUCCCUGAAAGCCCCUCCGGUUUCUAUACCGCUGCAAACUUCAAGAAAAUCAUAAC